UACGUAGGGCGCAAGCGUUGUCCGGAAUUAUUGGGCGUAAAGAGCUCGUAGGCGGUCUGUCGCGUCUGGUGUGAAAUCCCAUGGCUCAACUGUGGGCUUGCAUCGGGUACGGGCAGACUAGAGUGCUGUAGGGGAGACUGGAAUUCCUGGUGUAGCGGUGGAAUGCGCAGAUAUCAGGAGGAACACCGAUGGCGAGCAGGUCUCUGGGCAGUUACUGACGCUGGAGGAGCGAAAGCAUGGGGAGCGAACAGG
rnacentral:rRNA from 1 species